CCGGUCGAGGGCUAGAGCUCCAGUGUUUGUCAGUAUGCUGGAGCUCCACCUGUUUGACCGAGACGACAGCAGAGCAGUUACAGGUGUGGGCAUCGAUACAGCCGCCUCAUGCUCAUGUAUGAAACUGCACACAAAU
rnacentral:scRNA from 1 species